rnacentral:rRNA from 1 species
ACCUACGGGACGCAGCAGUGGGGAAUAUUGGGCAAUGGGCGCAAGCCUGACCCAGCAACGCCGCGUGAAGGAAGAAGGCUUUCGGGUUGUAAACUUCUUUUAUGAGGGACGAAAGAAAUGACGGUACCUCAUGAAUAAGCCACGGCUAACUACGUGCCAGCAGCCGCGGUAAUACGUAGGUGGCAAGCGUUAUCCGGAUUUACUGGGUGUAAAGGGUGCGUAGACGGGAAAUUAAGUUAGUUGUGAAAUCCCUCGGCUCAACUGAGGAACUGCAACUAAAACUGAUUUUCUUGAGUGCAGGAGAG